AUGCUUAUAUGGCAGGGGAAAUACCAUGACCACGAAGGAGCCUUUCCCAGGGUGAGGCUCAUCCAUUGCACUCAGGAUGUGCUGACUCCUGGGAUUUCCCCAAAUGCGGGAAACUGCAUAAUAUGCAGAAUGAGGGACUUGGCAGAUGGCUCAGU
rnacentral:snRNA from 1 species